rnacentral:rRNA from 1 species
AUUGAACGCUGGCGGCAUGCUUUACACAUGCAAGUCGAACGGUAACAGGCCUUCGGGUGCUGACGAGUGGCGAACGGGUGAGUAAUGCAUCGGAACGUACCCAGAGGUGGGGGAUAACGCAGCGAAAGCUGUGCUAAGACCGCAUGUGAUCUGAGGAUGAAAGCGGGGGACCGAGCAGCAAUGUUUGGCCUCGCGCCUUUGGAGCGGCCGAUGUCGGAUUAGCUAGUUGGGGGGGUAAAGGCCUACCCAGGCGACGAUCCGUAGCUGGUCUGAGAGAACGGCCGCCCGCACUGGGACUGGGCCAGGGCCCAGGGUCCUGCGGGAGGCAGCAGUCGGGAAUUUUGGACAAUGGUCGCGAGCAUUGUCCAGCAAUGCGGCGUGCGGGAAGAAGGCCUUCGGGUUGGAAACCGCGUUUUGCAGGAACGAAACGGUCUCCGCUGAUACCGGGCGCUAAUGACGGUACCUGCAAAAUAAGCACCGGCUAACUACGUG